GGAAGUAAAAGUCGUAACAAAGUCUCCGUUGGUGAACCAGCGGAGGGAUCAUUACCGAGUUUACAACUCCCAAACCCAAUGUGAACGUUACCAAACUGUUGCCUCGGCGGGAUCUCUGCCCCGGGUGCGUCGCAGCCCCGGACCAAGGCGCCCGCCGGAGGACCAACCAAAAACUCUUUUGUAUACCCCCUCGCGGGUUUUUUAUAUCUGAGCCAUCUCGGCGCCCCUCGUAGGCGUUUCGAAAAUGAAUCAAAACUUUCAACAACGGAUCUCUUGGUUCUG
rnacentral:misc_RNA from 1 species